rnacentral:rRNA from 1 species
GGGUGAGGAAUAUAUCGGAAUCUACCCAAUCGUGGGGGAUAACGUAGGGAAACUUACGCUAAUACCGCAUACGAUCUGAGGAUGAAAGCGGCGGACCGCAAGGCGUCGCGCGAUUGGAUGAGCCGAUAUCCGAUUAGCUAGUUGGUGAGGUAAUGGCCCACCAAGGCAACGAUCGGUAGCUGGUCUGAGAGGAUGAUCAGCCACACUGGAACUGAGACACGGUCCAGACUCC